rnacentral:rRNA from 1 species
GGACGAACGCUGGCGGCGUGCCUAACACAUGCAAGUCGAACGGAGAUAUUUGAAUGAAAACUUCGGUUGGAUUUCGAUUUAUCUUAGUGGCGGACGGGUGAGUAACGCGUGAGUAACCUGCCUUUUGAGGGGGAUAACAUCGGGAAAUCGAUGCUAAUACCGCAUGACAUUCAGAAUCUGCAUGGAAUCUGAAUCAAAGGAGCAAUCCGCAAAAAGAUGGACUCGCGUCCGAUUAGCCAGUUGGUGAGGUAACGGCUCACCAAAGCAACGAUCGGUAGCCGGGUUGAGAGACUGAACGGCCACAUUGGGACUGAGACACGGCCCAGACUCCUACGGGAGGCAGCAGUGGGGGAUAUUGCACAAUGGGCGAAAGCCUGAUGCAGCAACGCCGCGUGAGGGAAGAAGGUUUUCGGAUUGUAAACCUCUGUCCAAAGGGAAGAAACAAAUGACGGUACCUUUGGAGGAAGCUCCGGCUAACUACGUGCCAGCAGCCGC